rnacentral:rRNA from 1 species
AUUGAACGCUGGCGGCAGGCCUAACACAUGCAAGUCGAACGAGUGGCGGACGGGUGAGUAAAGUGUGGGGGAAUGCCUGAUGGAGGGGGAGAUAUCCUGGGAACGCUAGCUAAAACACCAUACCACAACAUAUGCCCAGAUGGGAGUAGCUAGUAGGGGGGGUAAAGGCUCACCUAGGCGACGAUCCCUAGCUGGUCUGAGAGGAUGACCAGCCACACUGGAACUGAGACACGGUCCAGACUCCUACGGGAGGCAGCAGUGGGGAAUAUUGCACAAUGGGCGCAAGCCUGAUGCAGCCAUGCCGCGUGUAUGAAGAAGGCCUUCGGGUUGUAAAGUACUUUCAGCGGGGAGGCGUUACCCGCAGAAGAAGCACCGGCUAACUCCGUGCCAGCAGCCGCGGUAAUAC